GCUUGUCUCAAAGAUUAAGCCAUGCAUGUCUAAGUGUAAAUAAGUCUAUACUGUGAAACUGCGAAUGGCUCAUUAAAUCAGUUAUCGUUUAUUUGAUGAUCUCUUACUACUUGGAUAACCGUAGUAAUUCUAGAGCUAAUACAUGCACAAAAUCCCGACUUACGAAGGGAUGUAUUUAUUAGAUACAAACCAAUGCGGGGCAACCCGGAAAAUGGUGAUUCAUAAUAACUUUCGGAUCGUUUACGAUGCAUCAUUCAAGUUUCUGCCCUAUCAGCUUUGGAUGGUAGGGUAUUGGCCUACCAUGGCUUUAACGGGUAACGGAGAAUUAGGGUUCGAUUCCGGAGAGGGAGCCUGAGAAAUGGCUACCACAUCCAAGGAAGGCAGCAGG
rnacentral:rRNA from 1 species